GUUUGAUCCUGGCUCAGAUUGAACGCUGGCGGCAUGCUUUACACAUGCAAGUCGAACGGUAACAGGGAGCUUGCUCCGCUGACGAGUGGCGAACGGGUGAGUAAUGCAUCGGAACGUACCCAGUCGUGGGGGAUAACGUAGCGAAAGUUACGCUAAUACCGCAUACGUCCUGAGGGAGAAAGCGGGGGACCGUAAGGCCUCGCGCGAUUGGAGCGGCCGAUGUCGGAUUAGUUAGUUGGUGGGGUAAAGGCCUACCAAGGCGACGAUCCGUAGCGGGUCUGAGAGGAUGAUCCGCCACACUGGGACUGAGACACGGCCCAGACUCCUACGGGAGGCAGCAGUGGGGAAUUUUGGACAAUGGGGGCAACCCUGAUCCAGCCAUGCCGCGUGAGUGAAGAAGGCCUGGUGUAAGCUCUUCUAGACGGAAAGAAAACGACGAUCGUGAUACCGGUACGUGGAGUGACGGUACCGGUAACGAAGGAAAGACACCGGCGUAACUAACGUGCCAGCAGCCGCGGUAA
rnacentral:rRNA from 1 species